rnacentral:rRNA from 1 species
GAUGAACGCUAGCGGCAGGCCUAACACAUGCAAGUCGAGGGGUAACUAGAGUGAUAGCAAUAUUACUUUGGCUAGACCGGCGCACGGGUGCGUAACACGUAUGCAACCUACCUUAUACUUGGGAAUAACUUCCAAAAAUCGGCGCUACUACCCCAUAACACUGCGGGGAGGCAUACCUGUGCAGUUAAAGCUCCGGCGGUAGAAGUUGGGCAUGCGUCCAAUUAGCUAGUUGGUUGGGUAACGGCUCACCACGGCAACGAUUGGUAGAGGUUCUCAGAGGAUGGUCCCCCACACUGGUACUGAGACACGGACCAGACUCCUACAGGCGGCAGCAGUGAGGAAUAUUGCGCGAUGGACGAAAGUCUGACGCAGCCAUGCCGCGUGCAGGAUGACGGACCUAUGAGUUGUAAACUGCUUUUGUACGGGAAUAAACCCUUCUACGUGUAGGAGGCUGAAGGUACCGUAAGAAUAAGCACCGGCUAACUCCGUGCCAGCCGCCGCAGUAA